UUUCCGUAGUGAACCUGCGGAAGGAUCAUUAAAAAAUUGGACUCCAUUGGUGAGUUCAUUAAUAAUCCCUACCCUUUGUGAAUUUGUUUGUUUGAAUAAUUUUUUUUCCAAAAAAAAUUAUUGAAUGUCUUCCUUGUUUUGGUGGUGCUUGUAAAGUGAAACCAGGCAGGGGAAUGGCAAACAUAAUAUUUUUGAAAAGACCUCUUUUUAAAAUUAAACUUUUUGUAUUCAUUUGUCUAAAAUUAAUUUUUAUAAUAUAAAAACAACUUUUGACAAUGGAUCUCUUGGUUCUCGCAACGAUGAAGAACGCAGCAAAAUGCGAUAAGUAGUGUGAAUUGCAGAAUACGUGAAUCAUCGAAUCUUCGAACGCGUAUUGCACUUUUUUAGUUUACUAAAAAGUAUGUCUGUUUGAGUAUCAGUAAAAUAUUCUCAUAAAAAACAUUGUUUUUUUAUGGUUAUGAGUGUUUUACAACGAUAACAAGUUGUUUCACUUUAAAUCUUUGUUAUCAAAAAAUCAUUAAAAGCUAAUUUUAAAGAUUUUUUAAAAUUGGAUUAAAAUUUCCCGUAAAAAGGAAUAACCUAAACAAUUUUAAAAAUUAAAAUUGGUUUGAUUUUUUUGAAACCCAAAGGAAAAAAAACGAAAUUAACUUGAUCUCAAAUCAGAUAAGAGUACCCGCUGAACUUAAGCAUAUCAAUAAGCGGAGAAAAGAAACUAACUAGGAUUCCUCAGUAACGGCGAGUGAAGCGGGAAGAGCUCAAAUUUGAAAUCUUCAAGGUUUUACCUUGACGAAUUGUAGUUUAAAGAAGUGUUUUCUGUUGGAGUUUUGGUAAAAGUUCUUUGGAAAAGGACAUCAUAGAGGGUGAGAAUCCCGUAUUUGACCAUUAUCUCCAGCUUUGUGAUACACUUUCAAAGAGUCGGAUUGUUUGGGAAUGCAGUCCAAAAUGGGUGUAAAUUUCAUCUAAAGUUAAAUACUGGCGAGAGACCGAUAGCAACAAGUACCGUGGAGGGAAGAUGAAAAGAACUUGAAAAGAGAGUUAAACAGUACGUGAAAUUGUCAAAAGGGAAGCGUUUGACAUCAGUGUUGUUUUCUCGAAAAUCAAUUAAAAAAGGCCGGAUUUUGUGUUGUAUUGACUUUAUCAGCUUUCUGCACUCUUUUCUUGUCUUUUUUAAUGCACUUUUCGUUUAACAAGUCAACAUCAAUUUUCUUUUGUUGUAAAAGGGUCAUUGGAAGGUGGCUUUCUUUUCGGAGAAAGUGUUUAUAGCCUUUGGCCUCUGCAAUCGGAGAGAUUGAGGUCUGCAGCGUAGAUCCUUCGGGGUUAGAUACAUUUGUGCUAAGUUAUAGCCUUUCAUAGACAACUUGUUGACUAUGAUCAGUCAUGUAGCUUACUUGCUUAUGCUAUUUUACCUACGCUUAGGAUGUUG
rnacentral:misc_RNA from 1 species